GUGCUCCCUUGGGCAGCACACAUACUAAAAUUGGAUCAAUACAGAGAAGAUCAUCGUGGCUCCUGGGCAAGGAUGACACACAAAUUUGUGAAGUGUUCCAUUUUAAA